ACUAGUGACGUGAAAUAACGCUCACGUCUACUUAUGAGUAUAUAUCUAUAACACGAAGGUUCGUAAUUUGCUAAAAACAAACAGUUUGGCUUAAAAGACAUUGAUAUGACCAUUUCCUGUAGAUGAAUUUUCGAAGAUUAAGUGCGGAUGAAGUGAAUACUAUCAACACUUAAUCUAUGGAUGCACAGAAAUAGAUAUUGGAUAAAGACUGUCAUUCAUCAGUCAUCAUUCUAAAUAUUUUCAAAAUAAUUAAAUGUAUUCUAGAAGGUUGAUUACUAUAAUUGAUAGCUGAAUAUAAAAGUAAAUAGCUUAAAUUAAUAACAAGAAACAACAAAAUUACCAUAUACAACUUCCUGACAUCUACUAAAUGCUUCAUGGAAGAUUGGAUGCACCUCUUUGAAAGCUUAUAAAGUUUUCCAAAUAAGUGUUGAAUGAAGAAUCCGCCCAAGCAACACGAGCUGGUGCUGCAGCUGCGGCAGUGUCCCCGCGACAUCCGUGCUCCGCCACUGCCUCUACAGACAAUUGCGAUACUUUGAAAUAGUUUUACUUGUAGUUAGUAUAAAUAAGAAUAAUUUGACAAUUUGAGCAUAGAUUGAGCAAAAUGGUAUUGUAAUUGGUUAAGAAUCUUUUCGAUUAUCGAUUUUUAUAACAAGAUAGAAAUCAAUAAAAACG